AUUGAACGCUGGCGGCAGGCCUAACACAUGCAAGUCGAGCGGCAGCGGAAAGUAGCUUGCUACUUUGCCGGCGAGCGGCGGACGGGCGAGUAAUGUCUGGGAAACUGCCUGAUGGAGGGGGAUAACUACUGGAAACGGUAGCUAAUACCGCAUAACGUCGCAAGACCAAAGAGGGGGACCUUCGGGCCUCUUGCCAUCAGAUGUGCCCAGAUGGGAUUAGCUAGUAGGUGGGGUAAUGGCUCACCUAGGCGACGAUCCCUAGCUGGUCUGAGAGGAUGACCAGCCACACUGGAACUGAGACACGGUCCAGACUCCUACGGGAGGCAGCAGUGGGGAAUAUCGCACAAUGGGCGCAAGCCUGAUGCAGCCAUGCCGCGUGUAUGAAGAGGGCCUUCGGGUUGUAAAGUACUUUCAGCGGGGAGGAAGGUGUUGAGGUUAAUAACCUCAGCAAUUGACGUUACCCGCAGAAGAAGCACCGGCUAACUCCGUGCCAGCCGCCGCUGUAA
rnacentral:rRNA from 1 species